CUACUAAUAUAUAGGUUACAAGACAAUAUAUUAAGAUAAUGUAUAAUACUUUUUAAAAAUCUAUUUUGUAUAUUCCAUUAUUAACGAUGAAGGUUUGCGACAGCAUCCAUGGAUUCUGUCAUGGUUAUUACCAUUCGCACAAACUACAUUUGUCUAAAACAUUUUUGUUCAACUUGGACAAAUGAAGAAACUACUGUCGUCCCCUGAGCAUUGUCGUGAGCUGUUGCCUGAGCGUUGUCGUGAGCCAUGAGCCAUGAGAUGUGAGCCGUUGUCGUAAGCCGAGGACAAACGAAGACAAGUGUUGCCGAAGACGAAUCCGAAAUGCGUUUUCUGUCUGCUGCCGUCGCCGAAGAGAAAUCGUAAAUACGUCUUUUGUUUUUGUUUUAGGGUUUAAAUAACCCAUUUUCAUUUCGUGAAAGUCAACCUAGACGAAUCCAAGAUGAAUCGUAUCCGAAUCCGAAUCCAAGACGAAUCGUAUCCGGAUUUGGGGGAAAACCUAGACGUACCGGUAACUUAGGUCUUCACUAUAUUGUUAAUGAUGAAAAUGACACUAAAGUUGCUAUUAUCCUUCCUUAAGAUGGCUUUAGUGUAACAAGUUAAAGCCACCACAAAGUGGGAUAGGUUGUAACCACCACUAAUUGAAGAGUAGAGCUCCAUGCCAAAUUAUAGCCCAGAUGAUCAUCUUAGUUGUGGUUGAAUUAUGGUCAUCAUAGCUAUUAGUGGAUGAUACCACCUUUUUAGUAGGGUGAGAUCAACCACGGCUGAAUUUUCUUGAUUACUUGCACUUGGGCCCAAUAGAGUUAUUGUAGCCAUUUUAGUCUACGUAUGUGAGUCUAAAUUAUAGUCUGAAAGUUGAGACCGAUAUGUUGAUUUUCAAAGAAGGGAAACAUUGCUAAGUGUCAAAUUUUUCUAGAAGUGGAUGAUACAGAAUUAUCAGAAAUGGGUAGAAACUUGCUAGUUCAAUCUACUUGGGUAAUAUUAAUAGUAGUCAUGUGCCUCACAAAUGCCCUUAGUUUCUAGUUGUGAAAUUUUAGUAUUAGUCACGGGCUUCACCAAUACCCCCUAUGAAAUUAGACACUCAUUUUUGGGGUAGUGAAGUGGAACAAUAAACCAGAUUCUUUGGUUUGGCCUUCAAGCAAGUUAUACGAGAUAUUUUUGAUGAUAUUUAAACCUAUAUAUUAUGAAUUAAAAGUAGUUCUGGUUGUGGUAAUGUUGAUUGAAUGGUAUGCUAAAUUUGUGUUUAUGUUUGUCAAUAUGUGUGACUGCUUGAAUGAACUUUAAAUUCUCUAUUUUUCCUAAAAUGACCAUAGAUAAAAGGGAUGAAAUUGCAUAGAAUCCUUUGGCUUCAUCAUGAUUGUAAUCUAUUCAUGCCAAAAUAAUUUAUUCAAGGUAUUUAUGACUUCAACCUUAGAAAGUAAAUUAACAAAUAUUUUUGUCAGUAAAAAUUUAGAAACUAAAUUAACAAAUAAUUUUGUCUAUCAUCAUAAGAAAUAUUUUAACAGAGUUCUAUUUUUUUUUCCUUGAUCGAAUCAUCACAAGAAAUUGGACAAGUGCAAGCGUGAGUCUAAAGAAACUAUUCUUUGCCACCAUCUACGAUUUUCAAUUCGGUUAAAUGUUGAGAUCACUCUGGUUGGAAGUUUGGAAUCGUGGUAAAAUAGGACGCAUACUGUUGCAUCUUCUUUGUGUGCGGAAUCCUCAUCUCCUCGAACCUGGGAAGAUAUAUGUAUCUGGGAGCAUCCACAACCAUCUGUUUGCGAACAACAGACCAUAUCCCAUCUGCCCCAAUCAAAAGUUUGCAGGGAACCACCUUGAUUCUAUGAUCUUCUGUACCCUCUUUGGGGCACUUAACAGAGUUCUAUUUUUUCCUUGAUCGAAUCAUCACAAGAAAUUGGACAAGUGCAAGCGUGAGUGUAAAGAAACUAUCCUUUGCCACCAUCUAUGAUUUUCAAUUCGGGGAGAUGGAGGUAACAGAGAAGCUGUAGCACAAAUAUUGCAAAGUGUGGAGAAGGCACGUCGGAUGGUUGGAGGAUUAGCUCUUGUAGCCUUCUUGCUAGACUAGAUUGAAGAGAUCUCUGAAAACCGGAGUGAAUACAUUGAACUCUUAAGACAAAUGUUUAAGCUUGCUGGGUAUAUUAGAAGGAUGAGGUAUGAUAUGCCACAAGAAGAAAAUAUAUUGAAUGAGGCAAUUAUAUUGAUUGUUGAAGGAUCCAUGAUAUGUGCUUUGCAAAUAAAGUCUAGAACACUUUUCUGGUUUUUGAAGGGUUUUGUGAACCACGAAGGCUUGGGCACUGUAAAAUUGAAAAUAAAUCAGCUUCAUCAGGAUCUUACAUUGUGAGCGCUAAUAGAAAUACAACAGAUCAGCAGCCUGUUGCUUUCUCUCCAUGGAAGCCUACUUAUACAGAUCAUGCAGGUACGACAACAAUUCAGAGAAAUCUUUCUAGAAAUGGGAUUUGAAGAGAUGCCAACAAAUAACUUUGUUGAGAGUAGCAAUUGGCAUCCAAAAGCAGAAGAAACAAUUAAUGAAUUUUCCAGACAUGGAAACAAAGAACAAGUCUCCAUUGGCUGUAGUUAUUUAUGGAUUUGGUGGCAUAGGAAAGACCACGCUCGCCACCGCUGUUAUUGCUGACUUAGAUCUCACAAUUACAACUAUUCAGGAGUUCAAAUGCAAGAAGACAACUCCAGGAACAUCAUAAAAUGCAUGCAACAACAAAUAUUGAAAGAUGCCUUCCCAGCAUAUAAUGACAGAAAUUUAACAUUGAGAAAUAGUGCUCACAAAAUGCAUGCAGCAGCAAAUAUUGUUGGAGCUGAGGAGGUCACACAUCUGGAAGAGACGGCUUUGUUCAAGACGUCCGACAAAGGCAACGUUAUUGUUCUUGAUAUCUUCCAAGCAAAAGGGCCGAGUAUGUCUGAAUUGAAUAGAAUAACUAAUAUGCAAUCCUGGCUCGAUGUUUUAUGGGACAAUAAGAGGCUCGAUCAAAUUUAAAAGAAACUGGCUUACCAGGGAGGAGACUGAACCUGUGUACGAACUUGAUGAGAAGCCUGGCCUUGGGGAACAAGAUAAAUGUAUCAGGGUCAAGCCAAAAGACACCCAAAUUUAAAUAACUGAGAUUUCUCAAACUAGGUGGCGACAUGUCUGGUUUAUGGCCAGUAAAUUUGGAGUGCCUUGAGCUGUUGGCUGUGUACUAUGGCCCUGUCUUUAAGGAUGUUCAUGUCUUAUUGAUCUAUUAAAAAAAUUCAUUGCCUUGCCCAAGUGAAAUGGGGCCAUGUAAGGUGUAUGUACUAUAUACUGAGCCAAAGCCUCCUCCAAGAUUGUAAGCUGCUAAAAAUGGAUUGUAAGAUGCUAAAAAUGGUUCUAUCUAGUCAUGUGAAGUUCAAUUCUAUUGUGCUCAUCUAUACUUGUCAAAAAUGUGGAUGCCCAUGUCCAUUGUUCAUGGAGUUAGUAGUAUUGAAGGAUUUGGCUUGUGGCCAUAAGGAAACUAUGCGUUUCCGUGAAGACAGCGCUACCUUCUCUUGUAAAGAUUAACCUUGUGGUAACCUUUCAUUGUGAAAGUUGCCAUUUCCUAUUUACUGUAUUCAAUAUUCUUUGGAGAAACACCACAUCAUUAUGUAAUAUACAAA